AGACUCUCUCCACACUACAGAGGCAAAACCUAAGGCUUUGAGAGAUGGAGUCCCAGGCGCAUGGCCCUGAUCUCACUCUCGAAUGUGACAUCUGGAAAAAAAUCAGGAAGAAGCAAAUGCAGAACAAGGCCUGGAUUAGCUGAUCAACAGUGGGAUGGUGUGUUUCCUAAAGCCCAGGAUCUCCACCUCACCCAGGGAAAUGUUGCAGUCUUUUCUGAGUUUAUUUCUACUAUAAGAAUUGCACUAUCAUAUUUGCUAGAGGUCAAAGCAUUUCCUACUUUGGGAAGAUGGAAAAUUUGAUAAACCUAAUACACAAUGAAACUAAUUAUCAGACACAGAAGCCCAGAGGGGUGCAGAGAACAUUUUUCACGCUUUGGCCCUAGAGCCCCAUUUCCCCUUUCUAGAAGCAUCUCACUCUCAGUCCACGAGGUCUGAGUGGGACCUGUCCCCAGCCCUGGGGUGGAAUGCAUGGCUCAGGCCUACAUCAGUUAGUGCACUGCAGUCACCAGCCCCCGUGAUUGGCUCACAAGAGGGCAUGUGAUAGAAGAAGCCUCAUCAGAGCGAACCUUAGGGUUUUUGCAGAGAAGGCUGGGACAGAGAACUUUCCUACUUCCCCCACUGCACAUUAUCCUAAAGGACUUCACCCUGGAAACUUAUGGAGGUCUUCUUGAGAGAAAAGAGAAUGUUAGAAUGGAGGUAACAUAAAGGAAGAAGAGCUAAAAGAUGGAGAGAGCAAAACCAGAUCCCAAGAACACAGCCAAAGCCAGAUGUCCUCCUGGCAUCUCAGUUGUACAAGCUAAUCUGUUGUCUCCCACAUUCCCAACCAUGUGAACUUUUUUUUUUUUUUUGGCUGAGUCUGAUCUAUCACUUGCGACAACUGGCACUAGUGGGGCCCCAUGCACACGCACACAACCACACUCAAUAUUUCUUUCCACAUGCGGAAAGCAGGAUGGUGUCACAGCAGAAGCCCAGGCCUGGAAGGCAAGAGAUCUAGGUCUGUCUGUGGCUUUGUCUCUUUGACAUUCAACUUCUUCAGCUAUAAGGUGGCUGGGGAAGGGGGAGGUUGGACAAAUAAGCUCAAGAUGCCUUCCUGCUCUGACACUCUCUGAAUCUGUCAACCUGAACGUCUUGGUGCUCCUGGGGCCAUUGAGAUUGCUGGAUCCUGAUUCUUUGAAGCAUUUCAUUCAUUAUGGUAAAGAAGGGUUUAAGUGGCCACCAACAGAGAGACGUGAAGUACAUGAAACAAUUAGGUUCUCUGUAUCUCCAGCAGAAUUGGCCCCAGAAGAGGGUCAGGCUUUGCAAAGACACAGAACAUUUUUCCCGCUGGGCUCCUUGGGAAAAGGUCUCAGCAUUAUGGAGGGUGUCUCUGGCUAUUCACAGCUUGCCAGUGGGAACAGCCAAGAAGGAGAAGAGGUCACAUGGCCAGGCCUGCUGCCGGCACAGAGUGUUCUGUGCAGCUGAUGGCUGGGCAGGGAUGAGGUUUGCCCGAUCCCCUGCUGAGGCUUCCUAUGAAAGGUAGGCCUGAGAGUUGCCAAAACAUAUUCUGCAACAGGGUCUAUGAAGGUCACCAUAAAGCAGGAUUCAGACUCCAUAUUAGUUGGUUAUCUCUUCUAUACAGAAUGUUAUGCCAAGCAUUUCUAUAUAUAUUCCUUUUGUUUGUUUGUUUUUGUUUUUGUUUUGAGAGGGAGUCUUGCUCUGUCGCCCAGGCUGGAGUGCAGUGGCGUGAUCUCAGCUGACUGCAAGCUCCACCUCCCGGGUUCAUGCCAUUCUCCCACCUUAGCCUCCGGAGUAGCUGGGACUACAGGCACCCGCCACCAUGCCCUGCUAAUUUUGUUUUUGUAUUUUUAGUAGAGACGGGGUUUCACCAUGUUAGCCAGGAUGGACUCGAUCUCCUGACCUCGUAAUCCACCGGCCUCGGCCUCCCAAAGUGCUGGGAUUACAGGCAUGAGCCACCAUACCGGGCCUGCAUUGUGUAUUUAAACCUCACAACAACCUGGUUGUCCCCUAAUAUCACUUCCAGCUUAUAGGUGUAGAAACCAUAGCUCAAUGAGCUGAAGUUGCAGUAAUUUACCCAUGGUCACACAGUAACAGAACCACAGUUAAUUUCCCUAAAAGAAGACAAGAUAAGGGCUUGCAUGGUGAUCUUGCCAUGCCAUGAACAGGAGCUGCAAACACAGGGAUCAAAACAUGUGCUCCAGUCGCUUCUCACAGCUGCUUUGGUAAACACUCUGAGACAGUGUGUGUCACUUUCUUGACUGGACUGUGAGUUCUUGGACAUCAGGGCCCUGCAUGAUCCAAUUAUAUGUGUCUCCCACAGUUCCUUGCACAAAACAGGAAUGUGAAAAGCAGUUUCUCUCUGGCCAACCACUGACCCCAGAGAAGGAUUGGCCCCAACCAAAGGUCAGCAACUGGAUGUACUUCGGGGCCAAGCAGGCAGUGGAAACACAAGAAAUACCCAGCAAAGUAUGAGACAGAAGUGCGUGGUGGAAGACUAAAGGAACAAAAUGUACGGGACUGGCCUAAGUCAUUCAGGUCAAAAAGUUUCAGAAGGAGUGUACAGCCAAAGAAACGAAAACAAAAACAAAACCAGGAAGACCGAAUGGGGCCCCAGAGCAUCAGCUUACAGCCCUCACUAUGACUCCACCCCGACCAUUUAGUUUGAUGUGGAAUUGACAGGUAUCCCUCCCACACUGUAACUCCAGUCUUCCAAGAUGGAGACCAUGGCUGAGACACUUUAUGUCUGGUUCUCAUUUAACGCAGCAUGUGGCACAGAGUAGAUAUUUAGUAAAUGUUUGCCAAAUAAGCUCUUAAAAUUAAAUUUUUCCAAACUGGUAUAAGCCUCGCGACGACAAAGAUGUGUGAGGAAAGCUACUGACUUAGUUUCCACUGACUUAGUUUUUCUAGUUUCACUGGAAACCAGAAUGUUGAUUGUGUUGUUUGGAUGGAGAACCACCCAUAGCAAGUGUCUGUAUGUAUCAUAAUACCUAGAGGAUCUUUUGGAUAACUGGUUGGCCUCCAUACUCUAAAAUAAGAAAUAUAUACAGCUCUUAAUUCUGUAAGAUAUCUAAUCAAUCACUGAUUCACUCAACAGGGAUGACACUGAGAUGAUAAUGGUGAGAAAAAAACAGAUGUAACUGCCUUUCCUUGUGGAACUUAUGGUCUAGUAAUCAGCUAAUCACAUAAAUAAAUGCAAAAUCAUAGUACAACAAGUGCUCAGAAGCAUAUAGCACUUUAAGAGGCCUGGUUUGGGAGGAUCAAGGAAGUAAUGCAUGUGUUGGCUAAAGAGGAGAAAAACCAGCAGAUUCAAGUCCCCUGUGGAAAAAGUAGACUUUUCCCUGUGGAAAAGCAAAGAAGAGGAUGUGUAAGGCCGACGUGGCCAAGCCCUGGAGGAAGUGAGCAUAUGGUUUAAGAGGCUGAUAGAGGUCAGACCAUUCCCAGUUUGUAGGCUUUGGAAAGAAUCCUUGUCUUUGUCCUAAGAGCAAUGCGGUGUAUCUACUCUGCUAGAGAAAAAGAAUAGUCGAAUAAUGCUAUAGUUCUCCCUUCCUCUAACCUGCACUCUUUACACAGGCUUUUAUGUUGCUGCCCACCUUCUCUCUAUGUGGGAUGUGGCAAGGGAAACAUGUUUUAAACUCUUGAAGAUGUAAAAGUUAUUUCCUUCUUAGAGUCUGAGCUGCAAAUGGCAUUUCUCUCUUAGUGUACCACGACAUUGCCACAGAAACACCAUUAGAUACCCCUCUGGGAGCAGAAGCUCAGAGCCCUACCAUUAGUUACUUUAUGUCCAGUAUCACAUCAGCCAGCAGUUUCUCAUCUUUUGGAUUAAGCAGACCACAUUUUAACCUAAAAAAUAUAGGUGUCCCAAUUAAUACUACUUAUCCUUUAGAAAUUCUGAUACAAAACCUUUCACAUAGCACUAAAAUAAGAGGAAUACUUAGGUAUAAACCUAACAAAAUAUGUACAUGAUCUAUAUGUGGAAAACUGUAAAACCCUGAUGAAAGAAAUCAAAGAGCUAAAUAAAUGUACAUGGCUAGAAAAACUCAAUAUUGUCAACAUGUCAGUUCUUCUCAAAUUAAUCUAUAAAUUCAACCCAAUCCCAGUUAAAAUCGUAGCAAGUUACUUUGUGGAUAUCAACAAACCGAUUUUAAAGUUUAUGUGGAAAGGCCAAAGGCUUCAGAGCAGCCAAUACAAGCUUAAAGAAGAACAAAUUUGGAGGAUUGACACUAUCUUAACUGAAAGACUUACUAUAAGGUUACAGUAAUCAAGACAGUAGGACUGGCAAAAGAAUAGGAAAAAAAAUCAACAGAACAGAAUAUAGAGCCCAGAAAUAGACCCACACAUGAAAAAUCAACUGAUCUUUGACAAAAGAGCAAAGGCAAUUCAAUGCAGAAACAAUAGUCAUAUCAACAAAUGGUGCCAGAACAACUGGACAUCUACAUGCAAGAAAGUGAAUCUAGACAUAGAACUUACACCUUUCACAAAAUAUCAAUUCAAAAUGGGUCAUAGACCUAAGUGCAAAACACAAAACUAUAAAACUCUUAGAAGAUAACAUAAGAGAAAAUCUUGAUGACGUUGAGGUUGAUGAUGAUUUCCUAGAAACAAUGCCAAAAACACAGCCUAUAAAAGAAAGAAUUGUUAAGUUACACUUUAUUAAAACUAAAAACUUCUACUCUGUGAAAGGCACUAUUAAAAGAAUAAAGAAACAAAUCACAGACUGGGAGAAAAUAUUUGCAAAACACAUAUCUGGUAAAGGACGGUUAUUCAAAAUAUACAAAGAACAGUUAGAACUCCAGAAUAAGGAAACAAACAAUGCAAUUUAAAAAUGGGCAAAAUAUCUGAACAUUCACCUCACCAAAGAAGAUAUACUGAUGGAAAAUAUGUAUUUAUAAGAUGUUGCACAUCAUACAUCAUUGGGGAAUUACAAAUUAAAAUAACAAAGACAUAUUAGCACCUACCUAUUAGAAUAAAGAUAACUCAAGAAACUGACAACCAAACGCUGAUGAGGAUGUGGAGCAAUAGUAACUCUUAUUCUCUGUUAGUGGGAAUGCAAAAUGAAAUAGACACUUUGAAAGACAGCUUGGCAGUUUCUUACAAAAUUAAAUAUACUCUUACCAUACAAUCCACCAAUCACAUUCCUUGGUAUUUAAUCAAAUGAGUUGAAAACUUAUGUCCAUACGAAAACCUGCAUAUGGAUGUUUACAGCAGUCUUAUUCAUAAUUACUAAAACUUGGAAGCAACCAAGAUGUCCUUCUAUAGGAGAAUGGAUAAACAAAUUGUGGUAUAUCUAUACAGUGGAAUAUUAUUUAGCAAUAAAAAAUGAGCUAGCAAUCCAUGAAAAAAUAUGGAGGAAACGUACAUGCAUACCACUAAUUUUUUUAAAGCCAAUCUGAAAAUGCUACAUUCUGCAUGAUACUGUCUAUAUUACAUUCUGGAAAAGGCAAAACUAUGAAAGCACUAAAAAUAUCAGGUGUUCAGGGGAGAGAGGAAGGGAUAAAUUGGUGGAGUACAGGGGACUUUUAAGGCAGUGAAACUAUUCUGUGUCUAUAAUAGUGGAUGCUAUAAUGGUGGGUACAUGUCAUUACACAUUUAUCAAAACCUGUAGAAUAUUCAACACAAAGAGUAAACCAUAAUGUAAACUAUAGACUUGAAUUAAUAACACUGCAACAAUAUUGACUCAUCAACUGUAACAAAUAUACCACAUUAAUCCAAAAAGUUAAUAAUAGGGGAGGCUGGGGAGAGAGGUAGGACAAGGAAGUGUAUGAGAAAUCUAUACUUUCUGCUCAAUUUUUCUGUAAAACUAAAAUUGCUCAAAAAAUAAAGUAUGUUAAUUA
rnacentral:lncRNA from 1 species